GUGUGCCCCGGACGCAGUGUCCUAGCGCUCAUCGGGUCAUCCUCUGCAGCCCAGAUUGUCCCUGUCCAAGACUGCGGAAUGAAGAAUCCAGGUUGGGAGCCGAUUGAAGCCCCGACUCCGUCCUCAGUCCUCUUUCCCUACCAAGGAUGGCUUCAGGCUCCCGAAGUUGGCGGGUUUGGACUUUUAUCUUUUUUUUUUUUUUUUUUUUUUUUUUUUUUUUUUUGCUUUGAGAACCUGUGUGUAAGUCCUCUCUGGUCAGCAAAGGAAUCUGUGCAGAGCGCCAUGAAUUAGAGGAUGGGGGAAUGAGUGCUUGAAGAUGCCCGAGGUAUGGUCCUUAUCCGUGUGACAUUUGGAGGUCCAGGUGAGAAAUCAGGGUUGAAAACUGCAUGGAGGAUUCAUCAUUUCUGCCCUGAAUUGGAAUCAAUUCCUUAUUGACUUAUUAUUACUGUAUUAAAAGUGUUUUUAAUUAAC
rnacentral:lncRNA from 1 species